rnacentral:rRNA from 1 species
AAUGAACGCUGGCGGCGCGCCUAAUACAUGCAAGUCGAGCGAGAAGACGUAGCAAUACGUUUGUAAAGCGGCGAACGGGUGAGGAAUACAUGGGUAACCUACCCUAGAGUGGGGAAUAACUAGCCGAAAGGUUAGCUAAUACCGCGUACGCUCCUUGGACUUCGGUUCAGGGAGGAAAGCGAUGCCGAGGGUAUCGCGCUCUUGGAUGGGCUCAUGUCCUAUCAGCUUGNGGUGAGGUAACGGCUCACCAAGGCUUCGACGGGUAGCUGGUCUGAGAGGACGAUCAGCCACACUGGCACUGCGACACGGGCCAGACUCCUACGGGAGGCAGCAGUAAGGAAUAUUGCGCAAUGGGCGAAAGCCUGACGCAGCGACGCCGCGUGGGGGAGUG